rnacentral:rRNA from 1 species
CAGUCGCCGCGGUAAUACGAAGGGGGCUAGCGUUGCUCGGAAUGACUGGGCGUAAAGGGCGCGUAGGCGGUUUUGACAGUCAGAUGUGAAAUUCCUGGGCUUAACCUGGGGGCUGCAUUUGAGACGUCAAGACUAGAGUGUGAGAGAGGGUUGUGGAAUUCCCAGUGUAGAGGUGAAAUUCGUAGAUAUUGGGAAGAACACCGGUGGCGAAGGCGGCAACCUGGCUCAUUACUGACGCUGAGGCGCGAAAGCGUGUGGAGCAAACAGGAUUAGAUACCCCUGUAGUCCCUGUCUCUUAUAA